AUUUAAAUAGUUUAUUUAAAAUUUUGAUUUGUGGAAUCAAAGAUGUAUAUAUUAUACUUUAAAUU
rnacentral:tRNA from 1 species